GGGUAGCGUCACUGGGGGUGACGCGACUCCGUACCUAGAAUUUCUCACGUGGAGUGGACCCUGCCCAGCCCUUCGAGCUGAGUCAUUCCGGAGACUCCCAGCUUAGGGCUUUGCAUCUCGUAGGACAGCUGCUCGGCACGACAGGACCUUCCUUGCUCUGGGCGAA
rnacentral:lncRNA from 1 species